rnacentral:tRNA from 1 species
GCCGAAGUGGCGGAAUUGGUAUACGCGCUGCGUUCAGGGCGCAGUGGGAGUAAUCCCUUGAGAGUUCAAAUCUCUCCUUCGGCACCA